rnacentral:rRNA from 1 species
GACGAACGCUGGCGGCGUGCUUAACACAUGCAAGUCGAGCGGUAAGGCCCUUUCGGGGGUACACGAGCGGCGAACGGGUGAGUAACACGUGGGUGACCUGCCCUCAGCUCUGGGAUAAGCCUGGGAAACCGGGUCUAAUACUGGAUAUGACUCCAUGACGCAUGUUGUGGGGUGGAAAGCCUUGUGCGGCUGAGGAUGGGCCCGCGGCCUAUCAGCUUGUUGGUGGGGUGANGGCCUACCAAGGCGACGACGGGUAGCCGGCCUGAGAGGGCGACCGGCCACACUGGGACUGAGACACGGCCCAGACUCCUACGGGAGGCAGCAGUGGGGAAUAUUGGACAAUGGGCGCAAGCCUGAUCCAGCGAUGCCGCGUGUGUGAAGAAGGCCUGCGGGUUGUAAAGCACUUUCAGUAAGGGAAGAAAGCCGAGUGCUAAUAUCAUUCGGUCUUGACGUUACUUACAGAAGAAGCACCGGCUAACUCCGUGCCAG